CCAUCAUUUCUCCAAUUAUUAUACACUUUCCCCACUCACUCCCCUGCAUCUCUCUCUCCCUCUCUCUCUCUCUCUACGGAUCCACCGCGGGCUGCUGCUCCUUCACGAUCACUUCAUCGUCGAACGCGCGCUCCGGCAGCUCCCUCCCGCCGCCGCCCCCGCCCUCCUCCUUCACAUGCCCAGCUCUCACAGCCCCCUCGUAGUCGCUCACGUUCCCAUAGAUCAGCGCGGUCGCUCCCAGACCCGCCCCCAGGAACGCCGCUCCGAACGAAGCCCCUAUCUCCCCGGGAACGGCGGACGCCACGGCGAAGCCGGCGCAGGCGCCGAUCCCUCCGACCCACGAGUGCCACGCCGCGAAAGCCCCUUCCUUCCCGCACGGCGCGGCGUCCAGGAUCAGGACCCGCCCGAACGCGUGCAGUGUCCCCGUCGACGUGCCCUGUAUCGCCGCGAACAGGAGUAUGUGCUCCUUCGCCCAUGUCUUUUCCUUGAAGUAGAACCCCAUUCCUGAUGUGAGCAUCGAGAGCGCGAAGCCCAGGAUUUGCAUUUUCACUGCGCUUGUUCGAAGCACGUGUUGGAGCGGGUGCAUCAGGGGGAGAGAGAGUAUGGGGAACAAGAAGUAGGUGAGCAUGAGGUAGAGUAUAUAAACUGGCUCUAGGCAUAGCUGGCCAAUGACGAAGAGGACACCUCCGGUGAAAAUGCACAUCGUCGUGAAAGAUCCCAAGCAAACGCUGACGAGCCCCCCGACUGCUUGUGGAAAUGCCAAAGUGGAGAAAAAGUGGGAUAUUGGUGUACUGGUUGAGGGAAGUCCGGAUCUUUGUGCGACGACGACGUGGAGUAUUCCGACGAGCCACAUGAUGCCGCUGAAGAUGGAGACCACCCACAUACCGACCAACUUCGAAUGGAUGUCGAGCAUGUGGUGGGUGAAGGUGGUGAUGGCGGCAGAGCCUAAGGAGCCGACAGCAGUGGCGAUGAGCGAGAGCCAGGCAGAUGCUGCCGUCCGGAGGUGGAACUGGUAUCUGUCGAGGGCAGGGCCGGUGAAGCCGCGAAUCAUGAGGCCGAGGUGGCGCGUGUGUGCGGCGGCGGCAAUGGUGUGGGCGGCAACGAUGGCGGCAAUAUAGGGAGGGAAGGUCCACGUUGAGUGGGAGGAUCCGGUGGGGAGGCAGAAGACGAAGCCGAUGACUGUCGCAGCUCCCGCGACGAGUUGUUGGUUGCGGCUGUGGUCGAGGUAGAAAGAAGCGAAGCCAAGGAGUGGAGCUGCCAGGAUUAGGCCUGUGACCCAAGAAGCUGAUACCCACUCUAGAGGCCAAUCCGCUGAAACUCCUGUCCCAUCCUUGAGGAGGCUGAGGUACACUUUUAAAAGUUUGGCUGAUGAGGAGAGGGAAAACUAUCGGCACAAAGACCGUCUGGACGAAGUAUGAGCAAAGCCCGUACAAGUACCAAGAGUAGACCUCCACUUUGGAUGGCUUCUCUUCGAUGCUCAGAUGCUCCGCAUAAACUUCUCUUGCCCUCUCGAUCUUCAUUCCGGUGUCGUGAACAUCAGGCGUCGCCGCUAUAUCACUGUCUGUCCUGACUUCACCAGGACCAGUCACUGAUGUUUCUGUUUCCCCUCCCAUUGAGUAUCAGCUAAUGUCCUAUGGAACUGAUUAUGAUUGGGUAAUGGUCACGCAGAGAGAAAAAGAAACAGAGGAAGUGAGGAGUGGGAGAGCACUAUAGAAUUGGGAAGUGGACUAUAAGGAAGAAGAUGGUUGGAGAAAGAGAGAGACCACAGCUGGUGCGAAGCUAACGAGGGGUCAAAAGAAAAGAAAACAGGGCCUCGGUAUGUAUGUACAUAGAGAGGGCAUAUCAGCAUCAUAUUCUCUUCUUGUAUACUGUCACUAACUAUGCCAUUAAGAGAGGGACCUUUUGGGAGCAUUAUGCUCUUCUUUCCUUGUCUAUCUAUGUUACAGUACAUCUUUCCUAUGUUAUGAGCAUUGGUUCUUGUUUCUCUUUUUUGUCACUUUUUACUCGAAUGGUAGAAAGAGGAUGAUGGCUUAUUGAAUUUUGUUCAAACUCCAAACUUUAGCCUUGUUGUUGUAAGCCAUCCUUAGUAAAAGUGGCCCUUUUCGUCGACACGACCUUUCUAUUCGGGAAUUACUAACUUAUCA